rnacentral:lncRNA from 1 species
UUUUUUUGAAAAAGAAUAUCAAUAUAUAAUUGCUGUUAAAGAAAGACAGAGAUAGAAUAUGGCACCUUCUAUUUCUUUGUUAAAUUGCUUGUUUGCACUUUCUCUUACUAAUUUAUAAGAUACAUGUUCUAUUAUAAUCCAAACUAAGACAACUAAAAGAGAAAGAUAAAAGUCUAUGGGAUUAUAAUUAAGGAACCCAUGAGGUGUUGUUGAGUAUUCUAGAUACUUAUUCUUUAAAAAUGCUGAAGAAUUCAUUUUUUAAAAUAACAAAGCAUGAAUUAACAAAAAUGUGAUCUUAUUUCCAUGUUCAUGUUAUGAAUUAUUUCAUCUUACAUAUUUAAAAGGAGAAUGAAAUAACUUUAAUACACAAACUAUGGUCGCAAAGUCUCAUCUCUCUUGUAGUUGAUUGAUUGUUUUUUUCCACUUCCAUUACCAACAAUGACUAUCCAAAAAAAGAAUCAGUCUUUGGGACUCUGAAAAAGGAUUUUUGUUUGUUUUUGUUACCAAAGAGUGGGAAAAAAAGAAUGUGUGUAUAUAAGUGGCAGAUACUCAAGUUGAACUUGAGAUCUUAGGUGAAAUUUACAGUAAGCAUUUACAAUAUAGGGACAAGUAGGAAAAAUAUUUUGUGAGGAAAAAGCACAAACUUUUAUAUUGCUGAAAAUUUACGUAGAGUUUUUCUGAGAAGAUUGGGCUUAUAAGGAAAAGUCUGGGUAAAAUUUCAGGAUUUAAGAGAAUACCAAUAAAGUGAAGACUGACAUUAACCAGACCUGGCUAUAAAUACCACACAAAGAGACCAAACACGUCCUCCCCUGACAGGUCUGGCCACCUCCCCUUCAGAACAAACCUAUACCAAACAACAGGAGAAUGAACCAUUGUUCUUUUAGGAUCAACGAAACUUAAUAUGCUAGUUAAAGAACUUUUGCUUUAGGAUGAUUUCGAUGUGUGUAUUACCUGAUUACCAUGUUAAGUAUAGUUAAACCCUGCAGCGUACCAGCAGAGCCAAGAAUCUGCACAUGUCAUCAUUUAAUCAUCUCUAUUAUCUCCCUGUCUUAUCAGUCAAAGUAAUAUGACUUCUUUCUUCUCAACAUCAUUUUGAUGUGAAGGAGGAAGUCACUUUUAUGUUGCUGAAAAACCUCUAAUUACCUUUAUUGAGAAAAGCGAAAAUACUAACGUGAAAUAAACAUGCUUCUUUUUCUGUUCUAUCUUAUUUGCUUGGCAAAUACUAGUGCACAGACCUUACUUCUGGUUGAUAGCACUGAUUUACAUGUGUUUAUUCUCCUUUUCAAUCUUCAAAAUGUACAUGUAUUCUAAUAGGAAUAUCAUGUCCUGUAAUUGUUAUAGACUAAUUACAUGUUACUGAAUAGUUAAAUAUUUUUAUUAUUUAUUGUUCAAUAUUCCAAAAAUGAUCUUAAAGGUAUGACUUCUGAUACUUAAAGAAAAUCUUUUAGAGUAUUAUCUGUAAGGACCAAAAUAAAUAUGAGUACUAUAUGAAGGCAAUAUUGUAACACAAU